rnacentral:rRNA from 1 species
AUUGAACGCUGGCGGCAUGAUUUACACAUGCAAGUCGAACGGUAACAGGCCGCAAGGUGCUGACGAGUGGCGAACGGGUGAGUAAUGCAUCGGAACGUGCCCAGUCGUGGGGGAUAACUACUCGAAAGAGUAGCUAAUACCGCAUACGAUCUAUGGAUGAAAGCGGGGGACCGUAAGGCCUCGCGCGAUUGGAGCGGCCGAUGUCAGAUUAGGUAGUUGGUGGGGUAAAGGCUCACCAAGCCAACGAUCUGUAGCUGGUCUGAGAGGACGACCAGCCACACUGGGACUGAGACACGGCCCAGACUCCUACGGGAGGCAGCAGUGGGGAAUUUUGGACAAUGGGCGCAAGCCUGAUCCAGCAAUGCCGAGUGCAGGAAGAAGGCCUUCGGGUUGUAAACUGCUUUUGUACGGAACGAAACGGCUCUGGUUAAUACCCGGGGCUAAUGACGGUACCGUAAGAAUAAGCACCGGCUAACUACGUG